GAAGGGCAAUCCCAGAUUGCUGGGUGAAAAGAGCCAUUUUUCUUGUUUACAAGAAAACUGGUUGAAGAAUCCAAUCUCCUCUCAAGUAUCUUUUCCUUGAGUGAAAAACUCUCAAAAAACAAAAAAGCAGGAAUUAGAUAAGUCCUGGAUAGAUCAAGGAAGGGGGGUAUAAGCACGUGGAGGGAGGUUUCCUUGGCUUGCUGACUACUCGUCUGGAUUCCCCUUCGUCUUGAGAAGUGUGGUAAUAUCACUCAGCCUGCUUGGAAUGUUGGACUGUUUUGAAGCUGGUUUGUUUUCAUGGUUAGAACAACGUUUCCGUUUGUGUCUGCAUCUAAGCGCUUUUUUUCUGUGUUUAUUAUUUUUAGCAGUUUAAAAGCUCACCAUAGAAAGCAGGCAGGGGUAGCGUGCAGGCCUGGCCCUGGCCUGGUGGAGUCUUUGGAAGUGUUGGCUGGCAUCACAGCAGAGGUCUUUGAAUGAAGCCUUUGUGCCUCCCUUUGCCUGUGGCCUCCAGCCUAUUGUCUAGGCUUCUUGGUGCUGGUGUUGUCUGAUGGUAACCACUACUAACGUUACAGUCCUCCGUGCCCAAGCUCUCCCUUGGGAGCCCCCAAUCUGGCUGUCUCUGCUCCCUAGUCCUCCUCCAGGGCUGUCACUACUCUCUCGCAGUAAACAGUACUGCUAAUUUAUGGACUGUCAUGAAAAUGGGAUCACUUAAGAACCUUGAGAUUUGUGGUUCUUUAAUACAAAAACCCAAUGAUGACUAUUUCCCAUGCUGCUAACAUUUACAUUAAUCAUUUCCCCUUUCCCAAAUUCAGCUUUUCAGUGAGCCCCAAUUUCCACAACAUUGAAAGGGACAGCUAUGCUGUUUGAGGAUAAGAAGGGUAGCUAUGAACCCCCUACCUCUGCUUCUUCCUCAUCUCUCCCCCAAUACAACUGUCAUCUGAAGUCCUCCACUGCAAAGAAAACCCCAUGAGACCUGAGAAAAUCCACAUACCACAAGUCCCUGCACGAUGGCCCUUCAAUUUCAGACACAGAAGCCAUAGGGGUUUCUCUACAUGCUCAAACCAUAAAGCAUUGGACCCAAAGGAGCAAUCUAUGAAUCCAUUUUUAUAUAGUUCUAGAAAAGGCUUGGUCAAUCCAUAGUAACAGGAAGUAGUCACCAUUACCUCAGGGAGAAGGGGGCAUUGGUGAGGGGCCAGAAGCACAAGGAAGUUGUCUGAAAUGACGAGAUGCUGUAUACCUUUCUAGAGUGUACCCCACAUGGCCAGUGCCAAAAAUCACCCGUGCAUUCAACACUAAGAAUUGUCAUUCAAUGAGCUAGAAAGAUAAAGAGGAGAAGAACAUAAAGUGAAAAUAUAAGGUCCAGAUAUUUGCACCUGAACAACUUCUUAAAGGUUCAUGGGCUACAUUGUAGCCCUAGUCCUCAACACAGUUCCUGAGGUUUGGGGACACCUGUUGUCUAUGCAGUGUCUUCCUAGCCCAAUAGUUACCCACCUAAAAUAAUAGGAAUAGCUCUGUUUUUUAAAAUCUUCACCUACUCCUUUAGAUGCUUUUCAGUGACUAUAAAAUGCAAGAUUGCAUUCAUCACAGCAGGCACUGGUUAAAAAAAAAAAGUAGGCCUCUGUGUUAUCUCUAAAAGAGCAGCUCGUGGAUUCCACAACUUGCUCUUGACUACCUCCCUACCCUACAUCCUCCUAUGACAUUUCACCUUCUCUCAAGCCCCUUCCUCAGCCUGAAACACUUCAGACAGUUCUCCUUAAAUCUCUCCAUGUCUUUAUUUAGAGGUUGAGCAGAAGGUGACAUUGAAAUGUAGCUAAGGACUUAGACCAAGCAAGAGGCCUCCAGGCCUACCUCAGGAGGAAGUAGCAAGAAAAGGGACCCAUGAGAGGGUAUCUCAGGGAGAUGCGUCCCACCCAGCCUUUGAGGCCAUCACUUUGGAUAGAACAGACUUUCUGGGACUUGGGAGAUUUCCCAACAAAGGCCAAGGCAACGAGUUCCCCAAAUGCAUCCAGAGGAACACAGAUUUAAUUUACUAAUGAAGCUAUGGUAAAACUGAAUCAUCUGUAAAACAUGUUUUUAACCCACACAUGCUGUACUUUGAAUGCUCAUGAUGCAAAUUUCCUAAUCAAACCAAAUUUAAUUUAGCAAAUUUUCUUCCAACCAGCUUAAUGGUUGAAAGAAAUGCUCUUCUGAGAGCAGAAAUGGAAUUAGGCAAUGCAAGAGUUGGAGCAGUGUUUGCUUCCUUGUAAUUCAAGUCAUUAAGCGUCAACUUAGCCAAAUGGAAAAGGCCUAUCUUCUUCACUCCGGUGACAGGAAAUAUUAUUUUCCUAGAGCCAGGGUUUUGGACAUGCUCCACCCCCAAAUCUGACUCCUGCCCUUUACCAGUGCAACAUGUUAUUUCAGUUUUCCAUGAAACGGGAAUAAGGGCACAAUGUCAGUAAUUGAAAUCUAGUCUAUGGAUAUAUUCUUCAUUGUUUUCAUUUUUACAAUUUAAAUGAUACACCUAUUAUAACCAAACUUAGCCAUCUAAUAUAACUCAGCCAAGUAUGGUGUCUUAUAACUGUAAUCUUAGCAUUUGGGAGGAUGGAUCAGAAAAAGUCUCCAUGAAUUCAAGGCCAACUUGGGCUAUAUAGUCAAUUCCAGGUCAGCCUAGAUCACAUAAUAAGACCAUGUCUC
rnacentral:lncRNA from 1 species